rnacentral:ribozyme from 1 species
UGCACACCAACUCCUAUCCCUACCUCCUCGUGGUACUGGCCCGGGUACGAGUAACCUUAGGGAAGAUCGGGUAACCAACCCUGGUGAGAACUUUGGUCGUAUGCUGACAGAGAAGG